CACCCAACGGGUAUCGAGUUUCCUGAAUUUUUUCUAUAAAAAUUCAAAACACUCGUCACAUACCUAAAAAUACCCCAAAAAUCCAAAAUCAAUGUUCAAAACUCUUUCGGCAAAUUUUACAGUUCCAUAAUAGUGGCGUCGCUAUGCUCCGGCACCCCUUUGCUGCCCACGACAUCAGUUCGUCUCAGCUUGGCCAGUUUUGGCCCAUUUUGCAU
rnacentral:lncRNA from 1 species